rnacentral:tmRNA from 1 species
AAAGGUUUCGACAGGGAUUCUGAAGCUGGAGAAGCUGUCCGCAGGAUGGUGCGUUAAUCCUCAAACUUAAAUAUAAACGCUGAAGAUAAUUUAGCAAUCGCUGCCUAAAUGCGGCGCGUCAGCCUGAGUGCACCUGCACAUUCAGUAACUGACGUCAACUUUGCAGGAAACGACAUGGUGAGUGCUCCGUAGCUAUGGUCGUAUCAGGGGCUACUUCUCAUAUUAGGGCGCUGACUUCCGGUUAUGAGAGGGAAAUGGCUUUGCCACAAUAGCCGGCUAUGACAGUAGAAGGACAGGGGACGGAUUUU